CCCUUAGAUGUCCUGGGCCGCACGCGCGCUACACUGAUGCAUUCAACGAGUUUUACCUUGGCCGAGAGGCCUGGGCAAUCUUUUAAACCUGCAUCGUGAUAGGGAUAGAUUAUUGCAAUUAUUAAUCUUGAACGAGGAAUUCCUAGUAAACGCAGAUCAUCAAUCUGCAUUGAUUACGUCCCUGCCCUUUGUACACACCGCCCGUCGCUCCUACCGAUUGAAUGUGUUGGUGAGGAGCUCGGAUUGGCAGCAGUUGGUGGUUCGCCACCGGCUAUUGCUGAGAAGUCCUCCAAACCGCCCCAUUUAGAGGAAGGAGAAGUCGUAACA
rnacentral:rRNA from 1 species